AGAUGAGGAGCCCCAUUCUAGAGGCCAGCAGUGCCACGGUCAAGGACAAGAGCCUAGUGGUCAGCCUUCAGGUCUAGGCUCUACCACCUCCAAAGAGGUAUAGCUGUGAAUUCGCAAGUGGGCAGGUGGCAAUCACAGUUAAAGGAGGAAAUAACAGCUGAGCAGGUAGAAACCCUGGGCCUGUCCCUCCUGGAGCACUUUCUUCCCAGAAAUAGCAGCAUAAUUGGGAGCAGCAGCUUUCCGCACUUCGCUAGGUACUGUCAGGGAUACAAAAGAAAAAUCAAGGUCUAGGUGACCAUCAUGAUUUCAUGGGGAAACAAAAGGGAUACCGAAGGAAUAGCUGAAUCGGAGUUGAAAAAGACGAGUGGAUUGAUCUGAGUGGAAGUGCCUAUUGAGGAAUGACGACAGGUCAUGGCCACCACCAUGUGAGGAAGCUGAUCCAGGCUCCCUGAGGAUGAAGAUCUUGUGGAGACAUGUCCAGAUAAUCCCACCUGUCCCAGCUGAGCUUGGUCAACACAUGAGUUAAAUGCAGAUACACGAAUAUGAAUCCAGAUGGAACCAGCAAGUUGCUCAGUCAACUCACAGAAUAAAGAAUAGUAAAUCA